GAUGGGGAAGCCGAAAACCAUUUUUUAGAGUAGGCA
rfam:Echinicola vietnamensis DSM 17526, complete genome.